rnacentral:rRNA from 1 species
GUCCACGCCCUAAACGAUGUCAACUAGGUGUUUGGUGGGUAAACCAUUUAGUACCGGAGCUAACGCGUGAAGUUGACCGCCUGUGGAGUACGGCCGCAAGGUUAAAACUCAAAGGAAUUGACGGGGACCCGCACAAGCGGUGGAUGAUGUGGAUUAAUUCGAUGCAACGCGAAAAACCUUACCUACCCUUGACAUGUCCAGAGGCCUGAAGAUAUUUGGGUGUGCCCGAAAGGGAACUGGAACACAGGUGCUGCAUUGCUGUCGU